rnacentral:rRNA from 1 species
UGUAGCGUACCUACUAGCCUACGACGGGUACGGGUUGUGAGAGCAAGAGCCCGGAGAUGGAUUCUGAGACACGAAUCCAGGCCCUACGGGGUGCAGCAGGCGCGAAAACUUUACAAUGCCGGCAACGGCGAUAAGGGGACCUCGAGUGCCAGGUUACAAAUCUGGCUGUCGUGAUGCCUAAAAAGCAUUGCAUAGCAAGGGCCGGGCAAGACCGGUGCCAGCCGCCGCGGUAACACCGGCGGCUCGAGUGGUAACCGUUAUUAUUGGGUCUAAAGGGUCUGUAGCCGGCCGGAUAAGUCUCUUGAGAAAUCCAGCAGCUCAACUGUUGGGCUUUCAGGAGAUACUGUUCGGCUCGAGGCCGGGAGAGGUGAGAGGUACUUCAGGGGUAGGGGUGAAAUCUUGUAAUCCUUGAAGGACCACCAGUGGCGAAGGCGUCUCACCAGAACGGACCUGACGGCAAGGGACGAAAGCUAGGGGCACGAACCGGAUUAGAUACCCGGGUAGUCCUAGCCGUAAACGAUACUCGCUAGGUGUCGGCCACGGUGCGACCGUUGUCGGUGCCGUAGGGAAGCCGUGAAGCGAGCC